rnacentral:lncRNA from 1 species
CAUUCAAUUCGAAAAAACACACAGAAGCUAAAUCAAAUUCUGCUAAUGUCUUUCACUGCAAAGAAAAGAAUCAGCCGUACAAUCUUGCUUCUUCUAUGAACCAGCUACAUCAUGUAGACGUGGAGCCAGGCGAGGCUGCAGAGGUGGGAUGGUGAACAUGCUGGGAAUCCAGAAUGUUCCAUCGGACGGCCUUCCUUUGGUUUGCUGUGGACUCCACAAACAAGCGCUGAUCGUCUAGAUGCACUUCACUGCAGAAGCCCUGAAGUUGGGACCGCUGGAGCGCAGAAGGAAUCUCCUUCAAGAGGAAGGAACGGGCGGGGAGACACAACAGAUAGUGGAGGAUGACCUUCAGAGCUGUGUGCAGGGGAGAGCCAUCAGAAUAAAUUAGGCUGGCAGAAGAAGUGAAAAGCUUGUGGCUCACAUUGGACAGGGGGCUGGUGAGGAGGAGAUGCAGGGGGUGAUGCACAAGCACCCGAUGAAGUAUGCAGGCCUCUGGGGGGGCCGGAGAACCACUGAGACCCCUUGAUUGACAAUGAGACUCCUUGAUUGACACUUGAGACCCCCUGACAGCCGCAAUAGCAAAAUGUCACUGGGGGUCCUAAUGUCCAAUAUUCAUUUUUCAAAUUGCAAAACAUGGAUUCACAAACAUAAAUAGGCUCCAGAAAAACAUUAUUGUGGUGCUCGAUCUGAAUCAUUCAUUGAAUCCCAGAAAGGCCUUCUUCCAGUUGCA